AACAAGGCGUACCUGCGGACCUGCGGAAGGAUCAUUAUCCAUCCAAAACCAGCUGCGGUCGCGGCCCCACGCUUACCCGUGGCGGUACGCGCCGCACGUCUGCACCCUUUUUUUACGAGUACCUUCGUUCUCCCUCGGCAGGGCAACCUGCCGUUGGAACCAUACAAAACCUUUUUUUGCAUCUAGCAUUACCUGUUCUGAUACAAACAAUCGUUACAACUUUUAGCAACGGAUCUCAGA
rnacentral:misc_RNA from 1 species